CCUACGGGAGGCAGCAGUAGGGAAUAUUGGUCAAUGGACGAAAGUCUGAACCAGCCAUCCCGCGUGCAGGACGACGGCCCUAUGGGUUGUAAACUGCUUUUAUACAGGAAGAAUAAGCCUUACGUGUAAGGUGAUGACGGUACUGUAAGAAUAAGGAUCGGCUAACUCCGUGCCAGCAGCCGCGGUAAUACGGAGGAUCCAAGCGUUGUCCGGAUUUAUUGGGUUUAAAGGGUGCGUAGGCGGUUUGUUAAGUCAGUGGUGAAAGUUUGCGGCUUAACCGUAAAUUGCCAUUGAAACUGACAGACUUGAAUUUGGUUGAGGUUGCCGGAAUGUGUCAUGUAGCGGUGAAAUGCUUAGAUAUGAUACAGAACACCAAUUGCGAAGGCAGGUAACUAAACCAAUAUUGACGCUGAGGCACGAAAGCGUUGGGGAUCAAACAGGAUUAGAUACCCUGGUAGUCCCACGACCUAACGUUAGUAUUACUCGUUGUUGGUCGUAUACACUCGUCAGACGACGUAACGACGAACGACGUUAAGUUAACUACCUACCGUACGGGUAGGUACGACCGACGAACGGUUAGUAAACGUUAAACGGUAAAGUUAGUACGGCGUGAGACGUGCCGACGGACGACCGACGAGGGAGGUAGG
rnacentral:rRNA from 1 species